AACGAACGCUGGCGGCAGGCCUAACACAUGCAAGUCGAGCGAGCGGCGGACGGGUGAGUAAUGUCUGGGAAACUGCCUGAUGGAGGGGGAUAACUACUGGAAACGGCAUCUAAUAACGCAUACAAUCAGAUGUGCCCAGAUGGGAUUAGCUAGUAGGUGGGGUAACGGCUCACCUAGGCGACGAUCCCCAGCUGGUCUGAGGGGAAGACCGGCCACACGGGAACUGAGACACGGUCCCGACUCCUACGGGAGGCAUCGGUGGGGAAUAUUGCACAAUGUGCGCAAGCCUGAUGCAGCCAAGCCGCGUGUGUGAAGAAGGCCUUCGGGUUGUAAAGCGCUUACGGCGGGGAGGCGUUACCCGCAAAGAAAGCACCGGCUAACUCCGUGCCAGCAGCCGCGGUAAUAC
rnacentral:rRNA from 1 species